CAUCCUGGGGCUGUAGUAGGUCCCAAGGGUUGGGCUGUUCGCCCAUUAAAGUGGUACGCGAGCUGGGUUCAGAACGUCGUGAGACAGUUCGGUCCCUAUCCGUCGCAGGCGUAGGCAAUUUGAGAAGACCUUUCCUUAGUACGAGAGGACCGGGCUGGACGUACCUCUGGUGUACCAGUUGUCCUGCCAAGGGCAUGGCUGGGUAGCUAUGUACGGAAUGGAUAAGCGCUGAAAGCAUCUAAGCGCGAAGCCCACUUCAAGAUACGAUUUCCCACCGCAAGGGUAAGACCCCAGAAAGACUA
rnacentral:rRNA from 1 species